rnacentral:rRNA from 1 species
AAUGAACGCUGGCGGCGCGCCUAAUACAUGCAAGUCGAGCGAGAAGACGUAGCAAUACGUUUGUAAAGCGGCGAACGGGUGAGGAAUACAUGGGUAACCUACCCUCGAGUGGGGAAUAACUAGCCGAAAGGUUAGCUAAUACCGCGUACGCUCCUUGGACUUCGGUUCAGGGAGGAAAGCGAUACCGUGGGUAUCGCGCUCUUGGUUGGGCUCAUGUCCUAUCAGCUUGUUGGUGAGGUAACGGCUCACCAAGGCUUCGACGGGUAGCUGGUCUGAGAGGACGAUCAGCCACACUGGCACUGCGACACGGGCCAGACUCCUACGGGAGGCAGCAGUAAGGAAUAUUGCGCAAUGGGCGAAAGCCUGACGCGGCGACGCCGCGUGGGGGAGUGAAGGUCUUCGGAUUGUAAACCCCUUUCGGGAGGGAAGAUGGGACGGGCAACCGUUCGGACGGUACCUCCAGAAGCAGCCACGGCUAACUUCGUGCCAG